ensembl:snRNA U6 U6 spliceosomal RNA
GUGCUCGCUUUGACAGCACAUAUACUAAAAUUGGAACAAUACAGAGAAAAUUAAUGGGGCCCCUGCACAAAGAUGACAUGCAAAUUUGUGUAGUGUUCCAUAUUUUU